rnacentral:rRNA from 1 species
AGAGUUUGAUUAUGGCUCAGGAUGAACGCUAGCUACAGGCUUAACACAUGCAAGUCGAGGGGCAGCAUUGGAGUAGCAAUACUCAGAUGGCGACCGGCGCACGGGUGAGUAACACGUAUCCAACCUGCCGCUUACUCGGGGAUAGCCUUUCGAAAGAAAGAUUAAUACCCGAUGGUAUAAAGAGUUCGCAUGUUCUCUUUAUUAAAGAAUUUCGGUAAGCGAUGGGGAUGCGUUCCAUUAGAUAGUUGGCGGGGUAACGGCCCACCAAGUCUACGAUGGAUAGGGGUUCUGAGAGGAAGGUCCCCCACAUUGGAACUGAGACACGGUCCAAACUCCUACGGGAGGCAGCAGUGAGGAAUAUUGGUCGAUGGACGAGAGUCUGAACCAGCCAAAGUAGCGUGAAGGAUGACUGCCCUAUGGGUUGUAAACUUCUUUUAUAAGGGAAUAAAGUGAGGGACGUGUCCCUUUUUGUAUGUACCUUAUGAAUAAGGAUCGGCUAACUCCGUGCCAGCCGCCGC